ensembl:lncRNA
AGAACUUUGAUAGGACGUUCAGUUUAGUGAAUGAGUCAGUGCACGAGAAUUAAACCAAAAAUAAUGAAAACGAGUAAAUAAAUGAAGGUGGUUUAGACAGAAAGCUGUUCUAAUGUUACAUGAUCUUUCACAAACAUUCCAAUAUCUGAACAUUUUCAUUACAACAUGAGCGGAUUAAAAUGAAUAAAGUAUCAACAUAACUGAAAUUCAAAAUGGUGAGCAAGCGCUGCUUUUGUUUAUGUUUCAUAUAUCUGUGUAUAUCUCCUGUAUUCAUCUUUUGGUUUCUCCUUUUGAAUGAUUAAUAAAUACGAUUGAUAGCUGCUGACAGCUCUUUCCUCUCACACAGGCACAGAACGCAGGUGUUUGUUUGCAGUCGGCUGUAGUCUGUGUGGUGCAUUCAAGCACAGCUUUUUAGGUCCAGACGCUGACAACGCAAAGUGGAAACAUCUUUGGCUUUUCCAUUUGUUGACAUGACAUGGUUAGAUUCAGAUGAAAGUGAUGGCGCACUCAAAACAUCCAGUAGUGUGGGUUUUCCCAGUGGAAAUGUAUGUAUACUCCCUGGAUCUCAUAAAUACUACUGUGUAUUGUGCACAUUAUUCUUUGACAGAAAAAAUGUUACUUUUAGCCAUCAAGAUGAGGACAUGGCUGAAAUCUUUUUGAAGGAUAUUGGUUUACUUACAGUAUGCCCUUUUUGAGUGCUUGAGCUCAACUGAGACUACAGUGUUUGCAGAUGUGGAGGCUGUUGUGUUGACCUUGAUUCAUUGCAAUAUUGAGGUGUUCCAUAUUAUUAUUAUUAUUAUUAUUAUUAUUAUUAUUAUUAUUAUUAUUAUUAUUAUUAUUAUUAUUAUUAUUAUUAUUAUUAUUAUUGUUAUUAUUAUUUGAUUUAGAAAAUAAACAUAUGAUUCCUCUCCUAUAAAUAAAAUGUUUCUUGUUUUUCACGUUUCUUGUUGAGGACUAGUGCAUCUCUGAGCCUACAUUCAGUAUGAGUAAAAUACUUAAAGUACUGUUAAAAUCAGAUACUCUAAGACUUUUACUCAAGUCGUAUUGGAAUUGGUGACUUGUAAUAUGUAAUGAAAUCAGUUUCUCUGCCACAUGCCAUAAACAUAGCUUUGACUUACUAUGGAAAAUAAGCUACUCUCCUGUAGAAGAUGCUUACAGUACGACAUCACAAAGUGGCAUGCACAAUAGAACGCCAGAAUGCUGUUUCAUAGCAGCUGUUGCUUAAAGUCCCUAGUACCAGUAUGGUGUUGCACGUGUAGGGUGCUUCUCAAGAGAAGGCUGCAUUCUAGUGAGGCUCUUUCCCAGACCGGUACUUGUGAGGCUUUUAGGCUCGACUCCUCCUCAGCAUUAGUGAUUGGAGGAUGUGAAGGAUAGACUUGCUGCAUUCUUCAAAAUACACUGAAUGAAGGCCUUAAAAGCCAAAACUGCCCUCCAGCGACUUGAAAAGGAUCACUAACGGUACACAGCAGUGUUGUAUGAAAUGUUCUGAUUUGAUUGGCUGAUCAGCAUUAGAUGAGUGCUACAUGAUAACAGUACAAUAGCACUUGGACUUUUUUUGCGCAACGACAUAGACAAAUCAAUACCGUUCAGUCAUUUCUGACAUGAAGUAUCAGCAAGUGAAAUUGUGAACACAGAUAUCAUUAACUUAUGCGAGGCAAUAAUCAGCGAUAUGGAUUCACAAAUAAUAAUAAUAAUAAUAAUAAAAAAAAUAGUUUGAAUGGUUCAUUGAUAUAUUGUGACACUGAGUUUUUAGGGAAAAAAAAUUGUGAUAUUAUUGCAUGAUGAUGAUUUUGUAUUUAUUUGUAUUUGCAGCA